rnacentral:rRNA from 1 species
AGGACGAACGCUGGCGGCGUGCUUAACACAUGCAAGUCGAGCGGUGAUCCUCCUUCGGGAGGUGAUCAGCGGCGAACGGGUGAGUAACACGUGGGCAACCUGCCCCUCACACUGGGAUAACCUCGGGAAACCGGGGCUAAUACCGGAUACGACCUCGAGCGGCAUCUCUUGAGGUGGAAAGCUCCGACGGUGAGGGAUGGGCCCGCGGCCUAUCAGCUUGUUGGUGGGGUAAUGGCCUACCAAGGCGACGACGGGUAGCCGGCCUGAGAGGGCGACCGGCCACACUGGGACUGAGACACGGCCCAGACUCCUACGGGAGGCAGCAGUGGGGAAUAUUGCGCAAUGGGCGAAAGCCUGACGCAGCGACGCCGCGUGAGGGAUGGAAGGCCUUCGGGUUGUAAACCUCUUUCAGCAGGGACGAAGCGAAAGUGACGGUACCUGCAGAGAAGCACCGGCUAACUACGUGCCAGCAGCCGCGGUAA